AUGACAAAAGCUAAUGCCGGUUACACCUCACGUGCAUUUAUAGCUUCCUGGUUGCUACGUCACCUGCCUAAGUAUUGGGGCAGUCCCAAAUGUUGGGGCAGUCGUGGCCUAAUGACACACCCGGAGCAGUGGGCAGCCAUUUAUGCUGCGGCGCCCAGGGAGCAGAUGGGGGUUCGGUGCCUUGCCCAAGGGCGCCUCAGUCGUGGAGAGAGUGCUGUACAUUCACUCCCCCCACCUACAAUUCCUGCCGGCCCGAGACUCGAACUUGCAACCCUUGGAUUGCAAGUCCAACACUCUUGUCAGAAAGCACCGUUUUGUAAAAUGUUGGUAUGUAAUUUUUUUUUUUUUGAAAGGUGUGCCCUCACAACAGCACUGAAUUGUUUUUCCACUAGGUGUGAUAAAUCGAUGCACUGAGCAAAGUAAUACAAUUAAAGACAAAUGGGGAUCCUGAUGCUCCUGACUCGCAGGCAGAUGCCGUCACGUGACUGGCAGAAUUUGUAUGAAAAAUGCAUUAUCCAGACAUGACAUCACAUAAAAAUCAAUGACCCGCCGGCUCUGUCAUGUUACGAUCUACACAUGAUGUAGCAGUUUAGCAUCAAUAAGUGAUUGGUGACUACAGUUCCCUAUCUGUCGGUCACUACGAGUUAUGUCGAACGACAUAUGUGGUCUCACUUGGGAGGCCAAUCAUCUCUGAGUUUAAGAGAAAACGCCAAUGAAAAUUAGCUAGUGGAUUUUACAUACCUGAGCUACUCCCCAUGCCUAUGGGUGUAAAUAGGCGACAGGUGCAUCCACUCUUCAGAUUUUUGCUUCGGAGCCGAGUGGUUGUAUAUUAUACUCCACAAAGCCAUUCAUCUGCUGUGUGUCGGGAAGCUGUUCUGGUUGGCGGUACGGCGCGAACAGUGGUCUCCCUUUCAGUGAUUCCCCUCGGCGCUUCAACUGAAAGAGCAGAUUUCCUAAAAGAGCAAAUCAUGGACGAUUCGUGUCUUUUUAAAGACGCCGUUUCGUCCGUGUCCUUCUGGAUGCAG
ensembl:lncRNA